rnacentral:rRNA from 1 species
GAUGAACGCUAGCGGCAGGCCUAAUACAUGCAAGUCGAACGAGCUACAGGACUUCGGUUCUGUGGUUAGUGGCGCACGGGUGCGUAACGCGUAUGCAACCUACCUUCCACAGGGGGAUAGCCUUCCGAAAGGAAGAUUAAUACCGCAUAACACCAUGAAGUGGCAUCACUUUAUGGUCAAAGCUGAGGCGGUGGAAGAUGGGCAUGCGUGCCAUUAGUUAGUUGGUAGGGUAACGGCCUACCAAGACUUCGAUGGCUAGGGGUUCUGAGAGGAUGGUCCCCCACACUGGUACUGAGACACGGACCAGACUCCUACGGGAGGCAGCAGUAGGGAAUAUUGGGCAAUGGAAGAGAUUCUGACCCAGCCAUGCCGCGUGCAGGAAGAAGGCCUUCUGGGUUGUAAACUGCUUUUAUCUGGGAAGAAAACGCUCCUGCGGGGGUAACUGACGGUACCAGAUGAAUAAGCACCGGCUAACUCCGUGCCAGCCGCCGCGGUAACAC